UAAUACAGAGGGUGCAAGCGUUAAUCGGAAUUACUGGGCGUAAAGCGUGCGUAGACGGUUACAUAAGUCGGGUGUGAAAGCCCCGGGCUCAACCUGGGAAUUGCAUUCGAGACUGAAUAGCUAGGGUGCGGUAGAGGGAAGCGGAAUUUCCGGUGUAGCGGUGAAAUGCGUAGAUAUCGGAAGGAACAUCAGUGGCGAAAGCGGCUUCCUGGACCAGCACCGACGUUCAGGCACGAAAGCGUGGGGAGCAAACAGGAUUAGAUACCCUGGUAGUCCACGCCAUAAACGAUGAGGACUAGACGUUGGAGGGGUAAGCCUUUCAGUGUCGUAGCUAACGCGCUAAGUCCUCCGCCUGGGGAGUACGGCCGCAAGGUUG
rnacentral:rRNA from 1 species